rnacentral:rRNA from 1 species
UACGGGGGGUGCAAGCGUUACUCGGAAUCACUGGGCGUAAAGGGAGCGUAGGCGUUUUAUUAAGUCUCGAGUGAAAGCCCGCAGCUCAACUGCGGAACUGCUCGGGAAACUGAUAGAAUUGAGUAUGGAAGAGGUCGGUGGAAUUUCCAGUGUAGGGGUAAAAUCCGUAGAUAUUGGAAGGAAUACCAGAAGCGAAGGCGACCGACUGGGACAUUACUGACGCUGAGGCUCGAAAGCGUGGGGAGCAAACAGG